CUACGGGAUGCUGCAGUGGGGAAUAUUGGACAGUGGGCGCAAGCCUGAUCCAGCAAUGCCGCGUGAGUGAAGACGGCCUUAGGGUUGUAAAACUCUUUCGCUAGGGAAGAUAAUGACUGUACCUAGUAAAGAAGUCCCGGCUAACUCCGUGCAAGCAGCCGCGGUAAUACGGAGGGGACUAGCGUUGUUCGGAAUUACUGGGCGUAAAGAGUUCGUAGGCGGACUGACAAGUUAGAGGUGAAAUCCCAGGGCUCAACCCUGGAACUGCCUUUAAAACUGUCAGUCUAGAGACCGGAAGAGGUUAGGGGAAUACCUAGUGUAGAGGUGACAUUCGUAGAUAUUAGGUGGAACACCAGUGGCGAAGGCGCCUAACUGGUCCGGUACUGACGCUGAGGAACGAAAGCGUGGGGAGCAAACAGGAUUAGAUACCCCUGUAGUC
rnacentral:rRNA from 1 species